rnacentral:snRNA from 1 species
GGAUGUGAGGGGGGGUCUGGCUGCAACAUCUGUCACCCCACGGACCACUGGGGUUGAUUCGGCUGAUCUGGCCAGCUAGGCGGGUGUCCCCUUCCUCCCUCACUGCUCCACACGCGUCCCUCCCGAAGCUGUGCCCUCGGUGGACGAGGACGGCCUUCCCCGAAGAGAGACCAACGGGUCUUCUGUCUAGGGCACAGGAGUACAUGCACUCCCCUGCUAGGACCUCCCAACGGGUCUUCUGUCUAGGGCACAGGAGUACAUGCACUCCCCUGCUAGGACCUCCCAACAGGUCUUCUGUCUAG